UGGGGAAUAUUGCACAAUGGGGGAAACCCUGAUGCAGCGACGCCGCGUGAGCGAAGAAGUAUUUCGGUAUGUAAAGCUCUAUCAGCAGGGAAGAAAAUGACGAUACCUGACUAAGAAGCCCCGGCUAACUACGUGCU
rnacentral:rRNA from 1 species